UGGCUGUCGUCAGCUCGUGUCGUGAGAUGUUGGGUUAAGUCCCGUAACGAGCGCAACCCUUGUCCUUAGUUACCAGCACGUUAUGGGUGGGCACUCUAAGGAGACUGCCGGUGAACGAAACCGGAGGAAGGGUGGGGAUGACGUCAAGUCGUCAUGGCCCUUACGGCCUGGGCUACACACGUGCUACAAUGGUCGGUACAAAGGGUUGCCGAAGCCGCGAGGUGGAGCUAAUCCCAUAAAACCGAUCGUAGUCCGGAUCGCAGUCUGCAACUCGACUGCGUGAAGUCGGAAUCGCUAGUAAUCGUGAAUCAGAAUGUCACGGUGAAUACGUUCCCGGGCCUU
rnacentral:rRNA from 1 species